UGGGGACCUCGAGUGAAAGUUCAUUCAUGGAAGAUAUUGGUAACAAGUAUUUUAAUGACUUGCUUGCCAAUUGCUUCUUCCAAGAUGUGGAAAGGGAUGUGUAUGAAAAAGUAAAAAGUUGUAAGAUGCAUGAUCUUGUGCACGAUCUUGCAAUGUUUGUUUCAAACAAUGAAGCAAUGGCUAUGAAGGCUUGUUCAAUUGUAGAUGACAUGUCACAUAUUCGUCAUCUAAAUCUCAUUUGUGGAGGGAAACCAGCACCAUCAUUGCCAAAAGCUGUUUCAAGAAAACUGAGAUCUCUUGUUGUAAAGGAUGUUGUGCUCUAUGAUGAGUCAUGGAAGUUCAAAAGCUUGCGAACUCUAAAUUUGGUUGGUUCUGGUAUUAGAGAGUUGCCAUUUUCAAUUGGCAAGUUGAAACAUUUGAGA
rnacentral:misc_RNA from 1 species